GAUGAACGCUGGCGGCGUGCCUAACACAUGCAAGUCGAGCGAUCUUCUUCGGAAGAGAGCGGCGGACGGGUGAGUAACGCGUGGGUAACCUGCCCUGUACACACGGAUAACAUACCGAAAGGUAUGCUAAUACGGGAUAACAUAAGAAAGUCGCAUGGAUUUCUUAUCAAAGCUUUUGCGGUACAGGAUGGACCCGCGUCUGAUUAGCUAGUUGGUAAGGUAACGGCUUACCAAGGCGACGAUCAGUAGCCGACCUGAGAGGGUGAUCGGCCACAUUGGAACUGAGACACGGUCCAAACUCCUACGGGAGGCAGCAGUGGGGAAUAUUGCACAAUGGGCGAAAGCCUGAUGCAGCAACGCCGCGUGAGCGAUGAAGGCCUUCGGGUCGUAAAGCUCUGUCCUCAAGGAAGAUAAUGACGGUACUUGAGGAGGAAGCCCCGGCUAACUACGUGCCAGCAGCCGCGGUAAUACGUAGGGGGCUAGCGUUAUCCGGAAUUACUGGGCGUAAAGGGUGCGUAGGCGGUCUUUCAAGUCAGAAGUGAAAGGCUACGGCUCAACCGUAGUAAGCUUUUGAAACUGUAAGACUUGAGUGCAGGAGAGGAGAGUGGAAUUCCUAGUGUAGCGGUGAAAUGCGUAGAUAUUAGGAGGAACACCAGUUGCGAAGGC
rnacentral:rRNA from 1 species